AUACGUAGGUGGCAAGCGUUGUCCGGAAUUAUUGGGCGUAAAGCGCGCGCAGGUGGUUCCUUAAGUCUGAUGUGAAAGCCCCCGGCUCAACCGGGGAGGGUCAUUGGAAACUGGGGAACUUGAGUGCAGAAGAGGAUAGUGGAAUUCCAAGUGGAGCGGUGAAAUGCGUAGAGAUUUGGAGGAACCCCAGUGGCGAAGGCGACUGUCUGGUCUGUAACUGACACUGAGGCGCGAAAGCGUGGGGAGCAAACAGGAUUAGAUACCCUGGUAGUCCACGCCGUAAACGAUGAGUGCUAAGUGUUGGGGGGUUUCCGCCCCUCAGUGCUGCAGCUAACGCAUUAAGCACUCCGCCUGGGGAGUACGGCCGCAAGGUUAAAACUCAAAUGAAUUGACGGGG
rnacentral:rRNA from 1 species